rnacentral:rRNA from 1 species
UACGAAGGGUGCUAGCGUUGCUCGGAAUCACUGGGCGUAAAGCGCACGUAGGCGGCUUUCUAAGUCAGGGGUGAAAUCCCGGAGCUCAACUCCAGAACUGCCUUUGAUACUGGAAAGCUUGAGUUCGGGAGAGGUGAGUGGAACUGCGAGUGUAGAGGUGAAAUUCGUAGAUAUUCGCAAGAACACCAGUGGCGAAGGCGGCUCACUGGCCCGAUACUGACGCUGAGGUGCGAAAGCGUGGGGAGCAAACAGG